GAUGAACGCUGGCGGCGUGCCUAAUACAUGCAAGUCGAGCGAACGGACGAGAAGCUUGCCUUUCUGAUGUUAGCGGCGGACGGGUGAGUAACACGUGGAUAACCUACCUAUAAGACUGGGAUAACUUCGGGAAACCGGAGCUAAUACCGGAUAAUAUUUUGAACCGCAUGGUUCAAAAGUGAAAGACGGUCUUGCUGUCACUUAUAGAUGGAUCCGCGCUGCAUUAGCUAGUUGGUAAGGUAACGGCUUACCAAGGCAACGAUGCAUAGCCGACCUGAGAGGGGGCUCGGCCAACCUGGAACUGGGACACGGUCCAGACUCCUACGGGAGGCAGCAGUAGGGAAUCUUCCGCAAUGGGGGAAAGCCUGACGGAGCAACGCCGGGGGAGUGAUGAAGGUCUUCGGAUCGUAAAACUCUGUUAUUAGGGAAAAACAUAUGUGUAAGUAACUGUGCCCAUCUUGGCGGUACCUAACCAAAAAGCCACGGCUAACUACGU
rnacentral:rRNA from 1 species